rnacentral:rRNA from 1 species
AUUGAACGCUGGCGGCAGGCCUAACACAUGCAAGUCGAACGAGUGGCGGACGGGUGAGUAAUGUCUGGGAAACUGCCUGGUGGAGGGGGAUAACUACUGGAAAGGGUAGCUAAUACCGCAUACCAUCAGAUGUGCCACGAUGGGAUUGGCUUGGUGGUGGGGUAACGGCUCACCAAGGCGACGCUCCCUAGCUGGUCUGAGAGGCUGACCAGCCACACUGGAACUGAGACACGGUCCAGACUCCUACGUGAGGCAGCAGUGGGGAAUAUUGGACAAUGGGGGAAAGCCGGAUGCAGCCAGGUCGCGUGUAUGAAGAAGGCCUUCGGGUUGUAAAGUACUUUCAGCAGGGAGGCGUUACCCGCAGAAGAAGCACCGGCUAACUCCGUGCCAGCAGCCGCGGUAAUUC